GGCCUGAUGGUCUAGUAGUAUGAUUCCUUGUUAGGGUUCGUCAAUGUACGAUCUUAUCGAGGAGGUCCCGGGUUCAAUUCCCGGUCAGGCCC